rnacentral:misc_RNA from 1 species
ACUUACGAGGUCGUGAAGUUUUUGGUAACUCAGGCCCUCCCUGCAUUCCUCCACCUUCAUUAUGUAUAUAGAUUCUGCAUAUGUGUUUUUUUUGCUUGUAGUAUACCAUAUGAUUUGUUUAUUCUACUUUAUGCAUAGGUAAGGAAUGAUUCAACUUUGAAUCAUGUGAUUUUUUAGAUGAAAAAUAUUUGUUAUUUUUCUGUUUGCUGAAUUGGCCAUUAUUAG